rnacentral:rRNA from 1 species
GACGAACGCUGGCGGCGCGCUUAACACAUGCAAGUCGAGCGAAGCGGCGGACGGGUGAGAAACACGUGAGUAACCUGCCUUAGACAUUGGGAUAGCCUAGGGAAACGGGGAUUAAUAACAAAUGGUCUAAACUGGACUCGCGUCCCAUUAGCUAGUUGGUGGGUAACGGCCCACCAAGGCGACGAUGGGUAGCAGGCCUGAUAGGGUGAACGGCGACAUUUGAACUGGGAAACGGGCAACACUCUACGGGAGGCAGCAGUGGGUAAUAUUGCACAAUGGAGGGAACGCUGAUGCUGCGACGCCGCGUGAACGAAGAAGUCUUUCGAGUCGUAAAGUGCUUGUAUAUGGAAAGCGGUACCAUAAGAGAAAGCCCCGGCUAACUACGUGCCAGCAGCCGCGGUAAUUC